rnacentral:rRNA from 1 species
UACAGAGGUCUCAAGCGUUUGUUCGGAUUCAUUGGGCGUAAAGGGUGCGUAGGCGGCGCGGUAAGUCGGGUGUGAAAUCUUGGAGCUUAACUCCGAAACUGCAUUCGAUACUGCCGUGCUUGAGGACUGGAGAGGAGACUGGAAUUUACGGUGUAGCGGUGAAAUGCGUAGAUAUCGUAAGGAAGACCAGUGGCGAAGGCGGGGUCUCUGGACAGUUCCUGACGCUGAGGCACGAAGGCCCAGGGGGAGCAAAACGGGG